rnacentral:rRNA from 1 species
CACGUAGGGGACGAGCGUUGUCCGGAUUCAUUGGGCGUAAAGCGCGCGUAGGCGGCUCGGUAAGUCGGGCGUGAAAUGCCGGGGCUCAACCUGGGAACUGCAUCUGUGACUGCAUCGCUGGAGUGCGGCAGAGGGGGAUGGAAUUCCGCGUGUAGCAGUGAAAUGCGUAGAUAUGCGGAGGAACACCGAUGGCGAAGGCAAUCCCCUGGGCCUGCACUGACGCUCAUGCACGAAAGCGUGGGGAGCAAACAGG